rnacentral:rRNA from 1 species
AUUGAACGCUGGCGGUAUGCCUAACACAUGCAAGUCGAACGGCAGCACAGUAAGAGCUUGCUCGUACGGGUGGCGAGUCGCGGACGGGUGAGAUAUACACCUGAAUCUACUUGUGCGUGGGGGAGAACGUAGGGGAAUUAACGCUAAUACCGCUUACGGCCUGCGAGCGGAAGCCGGGCGGCUCCCGACCUUGCGCGUUUGCAGGUGGCGAUGGCGGAUUAGCUAGUUGUCGGGGUAAAGGCCCACCAAGGCGACGAUCAGUAGCUGGUCUGAGAGGAUGACCAGCCACACUGGGACUGAGACACGGCCCAGACUCCUACGGGAGGCAGCAGUGGGGAAUUUUGGACAAUGGGCGAAAGCCUGAUCCAGCAAUGCCGCGUGUGUGAAGAAGGCCUUCGGGUUGUAAAGCACUUUUGUCCGGAAAGAAAACCAUGACGCUAAUACAGUCGGGGGAUGACGGUACCGGAAGAAUAAGCACCGGCUAACUACGUG